AUACCUGACAGAGGAGAUAAAAUAAUCACGUAGGUGUUUUUCCUAAAGUGAGGCUUACCCUUUAUACUCUGAAUGUGCUGACUCCUGUGAUUUCCCCAAGUGUGGGAAACACGAGGGCAUAGUCUUUAGUAAGUGGAGGAUGAAGUCACGCUUCCCCAU
rnacentral:snRNA from 1 species